UACGGAGGGUGCAAGCGUUAUCCGGAUUCACUGGGUUUAAAGGGUGUGUAGGCGGGUAUUUAAGUCAGUGGUGAAAUCUCCAGGCUCAACCUGGAAACUGCCAUUGAUACUAUAUAUCUUGAAUUUUGUUGAGGUAGGCGGAAUAUGUCAUGUAGCGGUGAAAUGCAUAGAUAUGACAUAGAACACCAAUUGCGAAGGCAGCUUACUAAGCAAAUAUUGACGCUGAGGCACGAAAGCGUGGGGAUCAAACAGG
rnacentral:rRNA from 1 species